AUCCACAAAAUUAUUCUUCAUUCAAAUAAAACUUCUUUAUUAUUUAUUAUUUUCUGUUCAUGCAUACUGAUAAUAACCCCCGCUUAGCUUUGUUUUAUCUUUCCUCGGUAUUUUUUAUCCAUUAGCGUUCUACUCUGAUGCCAAGAGCGUCAAACGGUUUAUAUUAUUCGCUACUGGGAUUUAAAAUAAUUUACACUCUUACACAUAAAUAAUUAUUACAUUUUUUAUCUGGUGUGACACGAUCAAAGUCUUAAAAUUUAUCGACACCACCACUAACAUAAUAUCUCAUCAUAUUAAUCGCGCUAAGAGAUUACGCCUAGAGUUUAUUGACAUAUCAUCGCAGAUAAACAUCAAGAAAAACAGGAUUAUAUAUAGUGAGGAUGCAACCGCCAAGCGGUAAUUCACAAUGAUUCUCAAGUUCGCGGAUUCCAAGUACUGGGAAAACGGUUCUCGUUGCCGCUGGUCAAAGAGGUCUGCUCGCGACAACAUUGCAGCCGAGAUAGGUCUACACUUAUACGCAUUGCGUGUAUGUACAUGUGAGAACAAUAGUUCAAGAAAAAUGAUACAGAAGUUAGCUGACAACUGUCAAAUUAUUAUAACAAAUCAAUUAUAAUAAAAAAGUUCGUUA